rnacentral:rRNA from 1 species
UGUAAGCGUAUACCAAAGUUGUUGCGGUUAAAAAGCUCGUAGUUGGAGUUCUGCCAGGUGCCGCCUGUCCGCCCCAGUGGUGAGUACGUGGCGCGCAUUUGGCCCUUUCAAGGGGAGCGUAUCUGCACUUUAUUGUGUGGUGCGGGAUCCUUGACUUUUACUUUGAGGAAAUAGGAGUGUUCCAAGCAGGCUCUCGUCGUGCACAGCUCAGCAUGGAAUAAUAGCAUUGGACCUCGAUUCUAAGCUGUUGGUUGCCAGAAGCGAGGUAAUGAUGAAGAGGGAUAGUUGGGGGCAUUCGUAUUUAACUGUCGGAGGUGAAAUUCUUGGAUUUGUUAAAGACGGACUACUGCGAAAGCAUCUGCCAUGGAUGUUUUCAUUGA